ACUCCUAAAUUUCUAAUUUUUUAAAGGGAGAAAACUCAGACCCAAAGGGACUGAGUGACGAAAAAUGACUAAAAAUAACUCAGCAAGGAAGUUGCAGAGCCAGGUCUAGAACCCAAGCGUCCUGGCCCCCUGUCCAUUCCUUCAAGGUCAUCUUUGUCUGAGAUUCACUUUGGCCCUGGCUGGAUUCUCAUUCCAUCGUGGGACUUUGUGAAAAAGCACUUAAGCCACGACGGCAUCAAAGAUGCAGGCUUUAGCUUGGGAAGGCCUCCACCACGUGCAUCUCUUAACAGCACUUUCAAAGGGCUGGGACAGUGUCAGAAAGUCCUCUUGGAGACUUGGCCUCUUCAGGGGGAGGGGACGCAGAUAUCCUAAGAGGCCAGGCAUAAUCCCUUUGCCUGGGGACACCACGGGGACCCGAGGGCCAGCCCUGAAACCUUCAUAUUUAAAGCAGUUGUCUGCAGACAUAAUGCCCUCCGCCUGAUCAAAGGGCCGCGCCACACAAUCCCCAGGAACCAGAAGGCCGACGAGGGGGGAGGGCCCUUUGUCCUCGAAGGCCUGGAGGCUUGGAAUCCGGAUGCUUAAGCAGGCUGGGCUGCUGGCCGCACAGGGAGGGGCAGCGGCCCAGCCUGUCCCCCACAUUCCUCCCUCUGCCCUCUGCUGGUCCCACACCAAGAAGUGGGCCAGAACUUUGCCCUCGCCUCACCCUCAGUCUCCCAUCAGUUUUCUUCAACCGGUUCCUAAAAAGAAUUUCCCCAGCCCCAUAGGCUUUGCUGGUUCAUUGUGCAGUCAGCAAAGGUAAGCGCCCCAAUGUAACGUGUUUUUAAGUCUUUCUUCCAGCAUGUGGUUCCCUAAACAAACACUGCAUGUAUCGGUCAGGUCACAUUCCUGACCUUGUUGCUUCAGGUGCCUGAGGAUGCUGGGCUAACGACAGCCCGGCCCGCACACGGGUUGCUGCUCCCCCUUUCCUCUUGUGGCCCCGGCAGACGGCCUUCCUGGGCCCGUUUUGGUCCUGGCCGCUUCGCAGUGCAGGGCUUUCCCCCUUCAGCCUCUCUUUAUCAAAGUACCUGCACGGAAGGCUUACGCUUCAGAUUCCUGCCCCUGGUGCCCUUUGCCUGCUCAUUAUUUAAGGUUUUUUCAGACCCCUGCCUGUCAGGGAACGUCUGCACACUGUGGCUGUUUUCAUUUUUGCAAGUCUCCAAACACUGAUCGCAGCCUAGGAGAUAAGCCUUCAAAAAAGGGUAACGUUCUCCUGUGCACACGCACACCCCCCUCCCCACCACCACCACCACACACACACACACACACACACACACACACAAAUACGUUAGAAAAAUGUGCACCGGACCCACCCACAUUCUUCGAAGCCCAGGAUCUGAGUGAUGAAAGGGCUCCAUGCCCUGCCCUUUGGCCCUGACAGCAACACUGGCCUCCUGCCUGCUCUCCUGCUUUGCAAGGUGUUGGGAAGGGGCUUUAUUUUGCUCCCGUCAGUCAAGCACAUAUACAGAAAGUAACUUCCAGAGGCCUUUCAACACUGCCGUGGGCUUGCUGAAGGCAUUUGUUAGAUCUGGUCCAAUUGAAGGGACACUGUCAUAGAAUAAGGCAGCUCUAUCUGACCGUAGCUCACACAGGUCUAGGCCAGCAGUAACACAUUCAGAAGAGGCAGGAAAGGGGACAACAGCCUGGGCCUCCGGGUACAAGGGACACUUGGAUUCAGGGAAAUUCUCCCUCUGUUUUUUUUUUUUUUUCCCCUUAAAUUUUAGAUCUGUUGUAAGCCAAGUUAUGUUCACUCUCCAAUUCACACGUGGAAGUGCUAAACCCCAGUACCUCAUAAUGUGACUACAUUUGGAGAUGGGGUCUUUGAGGAGGUACUUGAGUUAAAAUGAGGUCAUUAGUGUGGGCCCAGCCCACUAGGAUUGGGAUUCUUAUAAGAAGAGGAAACUGGGACACGGGCACACGCAGAGGGAAAACCAUCUGAGGAUGUAGGCAGAAGGCGGCCGUCUGCAAGCCAAGGACAGAGGCCUCAGACAAAGCCAACCCUGCUCACCCUUUGAUCCCGGACUUCUGGCCUCUGGAACUGUGAGAAAAUCAAUUUCUGUUGCUUAAGCCACUCAGGCUGCUGUCCUUUGUUACGGCACCCCUAGCAAUAUUGCUAUUCAAGAUGGCAUUAGUUCGAGAUGGACAAUGAAAUUAACUAGAGGGCCAUUUCUGGGCAGUAAGUGGUUCUUCUGUCCCUGUGUGGGUUUCCAGGCAUGGGAUUCUUGUUUGUUGACAAGCAGUGGAUAUUCAGUGUGUGUUUACUGGGCACCUAAUUCAUGCCAGACACUGGGCUAGGCCAACAAACAGAGACUCAAAAGUCAAUGGCUCUGUCUAGAUUCUAGAUGAGAUUAGCAUCUCAAAUUGGCAGCGGAUGCAUGAGGAUGUGGGGUCCCUAAGACAGUCUCCUCCCUAGGGACCUAUUGGCUACAUCACAACAGAGUUUUCUUCCUUGGUUGCUAGAGUAUUUCCUAAAGUGUUAGAUGGAACUGUAUAAAAUUGCUUUUUUAUGUAGGUUAAAAAAGUUGAACUAGAUGCAAUGGAACAUGCUGAGUUGCAUCCUGGAACAGAAAAAGGACAUUAGUGAAAAAAAAACAAAAUACAAAGAAAGGAGUUAAUAAUAAUGUACUAAUAUUACUUUUGUAGUUUGCCAAAUGUGCUUUGCCUAUGUAACAUAUUAACAUUAGAGGAAGCUGAGUGAACAUAUACAGAAAUAUACAGUGAUUUAUAUAACCUUUGCAACUUUUCUAUAAAUCUAAAACUUUUCCAAAAUAAAAAAUUUAUUCUCUAAAAUGUUCGAAUAUUGGCAAUUUUACAUAUUUUAAACUAAUGAAGUCUGGAGCCCUUGAAUAUAAAGUAGGCUAAUUCAGUCUCCUAAUGAUACAGUCAUAGGAUUUAUAUUUGAAAUUUAAGUGUGUUUUACUUAUAGAGGUUUUAAAAUGAUUGACUGACUUUUUGUUCCCUGGAUGCCUGCCCACUCUAGGUAAGAGAACUAAACGAGCUGACCUUCAAAGAGAGAGAGAUUCACGAUCAUUACCAAGGGGUAGUAUUGAAUAAGACCAGCGGACAUAGAGAGAGAGGAUAAACCCAAUUUCUUGAGGACUCUGAGCUGUUGGAAUGAUUGACUCCCUCUGCCCUUCUUGGACAUCGGUCAUAAGAAGACAGAGGACUGUGCAAUAUCAGUUUUCGGGGAGUCUGGAUCUCGUUUAGAGGACAAAGAAGAAAAUCCUUCAUCAGACCAAUAUCACAUGAGACACUUGUUUUGUUUGGCUGGCAAGCAUCAAAUAUCUUAAGAACUAUUUACCACACAUUUAAAUUGGGAGGCUUCACAAAAAUAUCUGGAUAGUUGGCUUUUCUUGAACAAUCAGGAAUUCUAGCAACAGAGACCUAUGUUCCUACACGGAAAAGAUUCAUUGGAGCUGAGUAGCUGCUGUGCCCUCUCAAGGGGCCAUAAGCUCUCUGUUUCUCAGAGUCCCCACACAGCCCUCCCUGCCCAUCUAUGCUUCUGGCCCAAGAGCUUUAAGCAUUUGCAUUUAAAACCUAGAUCAGUGUUUUUCAGAUUAUGACCCCCUUAUGAGUCAUGAAAUCAGCUUUAAAAGAAGGAAAAAGGGGAAGGAGGGGAAGGAAGAGAAAGAAGAGGAAGAGGAAGAAAUAGAAACUAUUGAAUAUACCACCUGGAGUAAGGGUUAGUAUUAUUUGAUGAAAACUUUGUUUCAUUUAUGUUUAUGUAUGCUUGCACUAGGUUACAAUAUAAAAUGCAUUUCUUCCUAUGAGUUGCAAUAAAAUGUUUGAAAGCCAA